GAAAAAUCAACCAUGGUAGUUGACUAACAUAGAUAAAGGCACAAGACAAAGUCCUUUCUUCUUCAAAUCUGUAUAGCCUCUUUCCACUUUGUGCACUUCUUGAAAUUGUUUUGAGCUACCUUCAUUCCCCAUAAAAUUUCCAGUGCUAUUUUUUGUUCUUCUGUAAUUGAUCUCCAUCUUGCUUACCUUAGGACUAUUGACAGGUGAGCUAGCAGUGUCUUCCAAAUCAGGAUCAUUGAUUUUCUUGUUUCUUGGUAAUUUCUUCAAAUUCAACUUCUUUGGAGAGUAUUCAUCAUUCAUAACUAAUUUGUUGUAAUUU
rnacentral:misc_RNA from 1 species